rnacentral:rRNA from 1 species
AGUGAACGCUGGCGGCAGGCCUAACACACGCAAGUCGAACGGCAGCACAAGAGAGCUUGCUCUCUGGGUGGCGAGUGGCGGACGGGUGAGGAAUGCAUCGGAAUCUGCCCAUUUGUGGGGGAUAACCUCGGGAAACCGGGACUAAUACCGCAUACGACCUACGGGUGAAAGCAGGGGAUCUUCGGACCUUGCGCAGAUGGAUGAGCCGAUGCCGGAUUAGCUAGUUGGAGGGGUAAAGGCCCACCAAGGUGACCAUGCGUAGCUGGUCUGAGAGGAUGAUCAGCGACACGGGGGCGGAGCCACGGCCCAUGCUCCUGCGGGACGCAGCAGUGGGGAAUAUUGGACAAUGGGCGCAAGCCUGAUCCAGCCAUGCCGCGUGUGUGAAGAAGGCCUUCGGGUUGUAAAGCACUUUUGUUGGGAAAGAAAAGCAGCCGGUUAAUACCCGGUUGUCAUGACGGUACCCAAAGAAUAAGCACCGGCUAACUUCGUG